rfam:Triticum aestivum genome assembly, contig: Triticum_aestivum_CS42_TGACv1_scaffold_320463_4BL
CUACUUACCUGGAUGGGGUUUAUGAGUGAUCAAUAAGGCUCAUGGCCUAGAUGAGUAGCUCAUAUUGCACUUUGUGAGUGUGUUGAUCUAUCGUCUCCUUUUUGUGGGAGUGUGGAUGUCAUAAUUUAUGAUAGAGGGGCUAUGCGUUCGCGCAACCCCUAC